CCUACGGGGUGCUGCAGUGAGGAAUAUUGGUCAAUGGACGAGAGUCUGAACCAGCCAAGUAGCGUGAAGGAUGACUGUCCUAUGUGUUGUAAACUUCUUUUGUAUGGGAAUAAAACAUGGUAUGCAUACCCUCUUGUGUGUACCAUAAGAAUAAGGAUCGGCUAACUCCGUGCCAGCAGCCGCGGUAAUACGGAGGAUCCGAGCGUUAUCCGGAUUUAUUGGGUUUAAAGGGUGCGUAGGCGGGUUGUUAAGUCAGUUGUGAAAGUUUGCGGCUCAACCGUAACAUUGCAGUUGAAACUGGCAGUCUUGAGUACAGUAGAGGUAGGCGGAAUUCGUGGUGUAGCGGUGAAAUGCUUAGAUAUCACGAAGAACUCCGAUUGCGAAGGCAGCAUACUGG
rnacentral:rRNA from 1 species